UAAGUUGGAAGUUUAUGUGAGCUGC
rnacentral:piRNA from 1 species